rnacentral:rRNA from 1 species
AAUCAACGCUGGCGGCGUGCCUCAGACAUGCAAGUCGAACGCGAAAGUCCCCUUCGGGGGAUGAUUAGAGUGGCGCACGGGUGAGUAACACGUAGGUAAUCUACCUUCGAGUGGGGAAUAACUCAGGGAAACUUGAGCUAAUACCGCAUAAUGCAGCGGCACCACAUGGUGACAGUUGUUAAAGCAUUUAUGCGCUUGAAGAGGAGCCUGCGGCGGAUAGCUAGUUGGUAAGGUAAUGCUUACCAAGCUACGAUCUGUAACCGGCCUGAGAGGGCGGACGGUCACACUGACACUGAAUAACGGGUCAGACUCCUACGGGAGGCAGCAGGUCGGG